UUGAGCCGUAUGAGGGGAAACUCUCACGUACGGUUCUUAGAGGGGAAAGCCCCUGUAAGGGGGCUGACCCACUCGAU
rfam:Bacterium F083 scaffold_134, whole genome shotgun sequence.